GAUGGUAAAACACUAAUUCCUAAUUCCAUUUUCAAAUUUGAAACGUUCUGUUUAAUUUUACUCUUUGCUCUUCUCAAUCCCUAACAAGAAAACGGGAGAGGGUUCACUUCGAACUCCAUUUCUGACCUGAGGGGCCGUAAAAGGAGACGGGGACAGCAGUGCCGGCGAAGGCCAGGAUGACGUCAAGAGAUCGAACCGUCGCCUGGGGCGAUUUCAUUUUCGAAGCUCUUCGCAUGUGCUGACCGCUUCGAUUGGUUCCUCAUGACCGUCGGCUCCCUUGCUGCCGCGGCUCAUGGCACCGCGCUCGUCAUUUACUUGCACUAUUUCGCGAAGAUCAUUCACGUGCUGCGGAUGGAUCUUAAACUCGGCACGUCACAUGAGCAGUUUAACAGGUUCACCGAGGACUAAGUAAAGGGUGGACGUCGUGGAAAAACUAUUAACAUCUUUUCAAUUGCUUCUGGACACCUGUAAGUGGUUCUCUUCUAUUAACUUGAUAUUAUAAUUUGCUUUUAAUUAUGGAUGAAAGGCACCUAUUGAUUCCGUUUCAGUUUUCUUUGAAUUUUGAAAAUUAAGAAAUGUUUGCAUUGAUCCAAAACCUCUUAAGGUAUAUUGAUGGAAUUGUCACGUGUAUCUGGCUUGCCACAAUGUCCUUAUUCUAACUUGGACGAUCCCUAAAUGUUAAAAUAUCAACAGUUUGAGAAGAAAUUUGCAACAGUAACAUCUUUUAUCAAAUGUGACGUUGAUGAUUAUAGAAUGAACAUUGAAGCAUGACAUAAGGUAGAAUGAUGAAAAGAAUGAGUGACCUGUUGGACUAGAAGCCACUCAGUUUGCACCCUUCUUUUUCUGCUUCAAUUGACCACUUUAAUUCAAGGUUGCGGGGUGUUUCAUAUGUUUCUAGGAAAAAGAUGCAAAUAAUCACAACUAAUGUAAGAGAACUUGACCUUCCUUUGUUUUGUGUUCUGUGAUUGCUAUUUUUAUGAGGAAUUGGCUGUGUUGAUAGUUUUGUGAAAUUUGGUUUAGCAAAAUAUACAAAGUUACAUGUGCAAAGGUAGCUAGAGUAUAAUCUGAUAUUUUGUGUCUUGAUUUGAACGAGUCUUGAUUAUUUGUAUUUAAUUUGCUAUGAGUGUGGGUAUUAUGUAAUGAAACAUGCAUAGCAUUAUUUGUACAAACAUUACUAAAUCAUGGAAUAAGGUAUUAAAAUAUUAACUAAAUAUUUAUCCAAUUAUUCAUUACAAUAUUGUUUUAACUCUAUUAUUUUAUUUGUACAUCUUUAAUGAUUCAUCUUUCAUGAAAGCUGCAGACAUUGAAGACACUAGAAGGAACUGGGCUUCUUUUAUUUUAAGUGUUAGUAGAAACUUGGCUACUAUGUACAUUAAUGUAAUAUUUGGAUUCAAUAUAUAGUUUAAUGUAUAAAUGAUGUAUUAAAUAUUAUUAGACUAUUUAAUGUUUGAAAUGAAUUUUAUUUUGUUAGUUUCA
rnacentral:sRNA from 1 species